ACAGCGCUUUGCGGUAGCCAUCCAUGGGCGGGCUUACUCGCCCUUUCCGGCCGAGCGCCGGACCUCGGCUUGGGGUUGCGGCAUCAGUCCUCUCGUAUCUUUUCGUUUUGCUCUGUUAUUCUUUUUUGAGUCUUCUUUUCUCUCGCGUGCGUUUCUUCCGGAGUCGUGAUUGGCGCCGUAGUGUUGGAUGAGCUCUUUGUUAUGUAGCUCAUUCACAAGCAGAACCCAACCGGUUUGCACAGCAAACAAAAUCAUGCCUUUCCUUAAGGGCUGUUGGUGGGGUUUGCAGACACUGAAGGAGCCUCCUUCGUGUUCAGCAGUACGACGUCAGCUUUCUUUCACAUGCCUGGUAACACUCCGAGAGAAGGAAACGUUAACGUUUGUAUUCUGUUCUGACAGUAAUAUUCAGGCAAUUCUGUAUACCCGUGUAAAUAGCCAACAACCAUUGUACUUAAGAUUAAGGAGAUGUGGUUAAAUUCCGGGAUCCAGGUGCCCAGAACACUGCUAGCUUGACAUUUUAUCUUUGUGUUCCAUAUUCAGCGUGUCAUCAAAGAUGGAUUUUAUGUCAUUUUCAGGCUGUAAUAUUUUACUUUUAGGGCUUGGUAUUCACUAUGCAAAAUUCUCCAGAAGUACAAAAGUAGAGGCCAUCAAUUAGGCAAGGUCAUGAUUCUUGGAGAUUUUAAACAAUAGAGAUUUAGAUUACUAUGAUUAAUGUGAAAGUUGACUGCUCAAGUGAAACAAUCAGUUCUUCUGUCUUUGGACAGAAUUUUAAAUACUGAACAUUAGUCAUCAGUCAUGUGAGGAUUUAAACAAGCACUUAGCUUUGUGCAAUUUGAGUGAUUAGUUCUAUGCAAGUGAGAAGUACUGUGCAGAGCAUGUAAGAUUUAGCACAUCUCAAACCCCUGAUUGUGCAAAACCUCAACACAUGACCCGAGAAGUGUUUGCUUUUUUUUUUUUUUUCAAAGCUGUUUUCUAAGAGAUGGUGUUUGUGCAGUCACACAUGGCUAUCAUCCACUCUUUCCCCAUUAUCAGGGGGAGGGUAAUGGUAGCCAGAGUAUUGGCUAAUUUCUGGUAGUUAUCACAGGAGAAUGGAAAUUUGAAAAACAAUUCCAUUUGCACAUAUUUGGUGAAAAUAGGUGACUCUGGGUUAGAAAUAUUUUGCUUGCAUAAUGAAAGCAGAUGCAGGGGCUGAGGUAUUAGGAAUCACAAAACCUACAUUCAGAUGAAAAAUAAAACAUAGUUCCUACUUAACCCAUCAAGAGUUCAGCCAACACUUACGACUGACCCAAAGGUGAGCCACUAGCAAAUGAGCUUUGUUUGGUGUUCGGAAUGCUUUGAAAGGAAGAGAGAACAAAUCUAAAUCAGUUCCUUUUGUUGGUGUUAUCUCAGGACUGCUAAUGAAGAACCAUGUAUUAAUACCAAAUGCACUGUUAGUCAAAUGGCUGCUUAUAUAAUGCUUACUUUUUGUAAGCAUUCUUUCUUAGGUCUUGAAUAAUUUAUCAUCGUUUGGAUAUUAGUCUGCUGUACAUUCUACUCAGAACUAAAAAAAAAAACACUGGAAGAUAUUUGUAAACCUUGUAAUAUAGAUACAGAUAUAUAACUUUCUGUUAGAAAAAUAAUGAGUUAACCAGCAUAUAUUGAUAGCAUAGCCUAGGGAGGAGGAAAAAAAAAGAAAAAAAAAAAAGUUAAAUACUCUGUGCUGCUUGUUUCCUUUGCUUUCUGGCAUAAUAAUAGAACCACAAGGCAUUUAGCAAGUAGUUACUGUAGAAAUUAGAUUGUACUGUGGGAAGUGAGAAUUAGAUAAUAAACAUCACUACACAAAAGUAGCGAGAAGAAAAGAGUAGAGUGGGGAAAAGAAAUCAGGCAAGAUACUAUACUUGUGAGGAAAAUCCAAAUGCUACAAUAUCCCUACUAAGCACAGAACAAUUCAAACUAGUAAUGUAUCUAACUUCAAAAAAACAAUAAUAUAGUAAGAACCUUCAAGUACCAUCUACUGACUCAUUUUCUGUUCCUUUACACUUCUGAAAUAACUGCACCUUUGGAAUGUAAGGCACUUGUUUGGCAGCCUCUUUUACCUGACUUUGCACAGGUGUGAAAAGGUACACAGCAUGCAAAAGUUAAUAAUCAGAACCACAGAAAUUAAAGUGUAUUUGCUGAUAAGCUACUUUUACCAGAAAGUGCAUUUCAAGAGACAGUCAGAAGGCCUGAACUCAUCUUGCCAAGGCAUUUUUAUUGUUUCCUAAUGGGAGAAAAAUAUUUCAAUUUGGCUACAGUCUAAGUCCUUGAUUUCACAGUGAUUCUGUGUUAUACUAACAGAUGAUAUCUUGUGUAUUUUUAUACCAACCAGUAUCCUUCUGCUAUUAAAUCUCUUACAUGGAAGUUUAGUGAGGCUUUAAGGAACUGAAAAUCCCUUGAUGGCUGACCUCUACUACUGCUGCCUUUGUCUCACUGUAGGCUGUAGCAUAAGAUGUUCUUGAGACCUGCUGUUGUCCCACGGCCCUCACGCUCUUCUUCAGUACCUGCAGGAUACAGCACGGUAGGGGAAUACAUCUUGUCUCCAGUUUGUUUCCUUGCCUGUUUCCUUCACACAGGUUGAUUAAUGUGGCUCCAUUGGGAAGAGAAAAGGAAGACUGGCAAGAAGUGGGAAAAGGUGGAGCCAGCAGAGCCAGUGAGCUGGCCUGACCAGAGAGCAGCAUCACAUCUGUUUGUUAGCAGGGCUUGUAGAAAACUGCAGUGUGCAUUCUGGGUGUCAAUCCACUGACCAAUCUACUGAUGCCAUGAGGAUGAGUAGUGCAGCUCAAAGACUUCAAAUUCACACAGAUUAGUUACUUGCAUGUCAAUGGAGAUUUUGUUUGUUUUCCUUGUGCAGGAAUCAAAUCCACUGAAAAUUUUAGCAUUUUGCAUUUUUAAUGACAUUUUAUGUAGUUUCAAGUAUCAAGUGAACUGGACUUCAACGUGAAAUCAUGAUAUUCUUUCUCCACUUGGACCUUGUCAUCUUCUAAGUCAAAUUCACAUAUCAUGUUCAUCGUGUUCAGCAGCUGAAGAGUCUUCUAAACUCAAUUAGUGCAAGAAUGCUGUGACCAAUGGAAAAAUGUUUGAUGCUUGCCAGAAAGCAAACCUCCCCAGCUCUUGAAAGGAACGUUCUGAAAACAAAACAGAGAUGCAUCUCCAGGCUUCCUGCUGUAUUUUGCUGCCUCUGGAGGCUGCUCCUCGUUUUAGUUCCCUUUUAUAGAAACUAAACACAGCAGGGUCCAGUGGGAUCCAGCUGCCCUCUCUCAACUUUUCAGCAGAGAGAUGAAUUGUCCUGGGUCUUAGCUUCCGCAGGAUUGUUGGCAUCUUUUCUAUCUUUCUAUGCUGAAGAAAUUUGAGGAAGAGUGACUACAGAAAAAGACAUCUGUUUUGCACAUCUUUAAAAUAUAGGCUUCUUGCCCCAGAUGCUUUACUUAUGUUCAGAUUACAAAGAUAACACUCCAUGACCUGUGGAUCUACAUUUAAGUUUAAAUCUCAUAGAGAAUAUGUCUUCUGGGUAUAUAAAGUGGUGUGAUUAUUGUUAGUGAUUGCAUAGACAAUUAUACACUUGAUCUGCUGACACAUCAGGGAUGGUUUAGAACAGAACGAGGUAGUUUCUGUGAAGUUAUAUUAAUCUCUACUUAGGUCAUUUCUAUUUCUGAUUUCAAAUCUGUUUGUUGUUUCAACUGAAACAUUUUCCAUUGCUUGUGGUAGGGGAGCAGAUAAGACAGAAGCGUCACAGCUCGUGAACUGUUUUAUACUUACUGAUCUAUGGAGAAUAGAUAUUUUCUCCAGAAACGGGAGCAGUUGAACUCUGAAGGAGAGUGAACCCUUUUGGCAAGGAUUUGUGAGGGCUCUGGGUGGAAAAUCCUCUUUUAUGAGGCCGGAGCAAGCAGAAGUGUAGUGACUGUUCAGCUUGUCGCAUUAGGGGAAAAUAAUUACGCAUUUUAUUCACAUAGAGCACACUGGUGUGUUGUCUGGACACUGCAUGCUGCCAGGAGUUUUGAAUGAUUUCAAAACCAGCAGAGUCCCAGCCUGGUGGACAACUGACAGAGUGAUGGUUACCUGCUAUCAGCUGUAGCUAUUGAGCCGAGACAGUUCAGUUCUUGAUGUCUUAUCACGUGUUAAUACCUAAUGCAUUUUAAGUCAUCUCUCCAACCAAUGUUAAUGUCUUGUUCAGGGAAGGCAGUAAAGGAGUCUCAGGAUCUGGUAUCUCCAAGUGUCUCUUUUCUAUUUCUUUCCUGCUCCCAAGGGAAUCCAGCCUGUAAUAUCUACCCACUUGUAGAACUACAGGCAAUUCACAGAAACACAAACACAUGCAGUAUUACAACACACGUAUUAAAAUGACAUUUUUUUUACAAGAUCAAAAACAAAUAGAAAAAAUAAAAGUGCUGUGGGAAAGCAUUUACCAAAUAAAAAUGUCUUUGGAGGCCUGAUUGCAUGUGGGUCUGUGAAUAACACUCAGGAGACUAUAAACUUUAGACAAACCAGAUGGUUAGACAGCAAUCCAGAUGGUUUUAUUUAUGCAGACAAAGUUCACAUUUAGGGAGGGGCUUUGUUCCUCUGGAGAAGGUUUCACACACAAAGUAGAAUUAUAUAUAUGGUGUAUGGUAAUAGACUGGAACAUUCAUAAAAAUUUAAGUCUCAAUGAGUAGUCUGUUGUCCUUUCAAUACAGAUAUCAUCAUAAUUACAUAGCUGGUGUGCUCGUUGGCUGCUCUUGUACAUGAUGUUGCUUCUUUUUCCUGCAUUAGUAUCCAAGGGUUUUAGUGAGGAUUAUGAGCAGUUUAUUUGUUAUGUGUUAUAAAGUUGUUUUCGAAGAUACAGUCCUUGUUUAGAAGAGUUGAGAAUCUAAGGACAAUGAAAACACAGCAGUUGAGGAAAGUAGAAGGGAAUUAAGUGGAUAUCACUGAAAGAAUCUGAUGAGUAUCAGCUAGGAAAUCUCUCUCCUUUUUGGUAUCAGAGAAAGAGAUAGAAAAACAGCCUUGCCACUUUUACCAAAGUGACCUUCUAAUCCUUUAGCUUUAAGCCCCGACAGUACAUUUAUCUUAACCAUAAAGUCUGUGCAUACCUACUUUUCAUUCUCUUCUAUGCGCAUAAAACGGUGACUUUAUACAGCACGUGCCAUUCUCUGAUGAAAUGGCAAACAAUAGUUAGCUUCCAGAUUAUUUCAACACAAAGUGAAGAAAUUGGCUUAAAAAUAUGGUGUUAGCUCUACUUCUCAGGCAGUAGCCUCCCAUAACACAGAAAUCUGGUGAUCCGUAAUAUCUUACCAAACUCUUUUUUGAAUGUCCAGUCUAUCUAUUAUAUCUAAUUUCACUGGAGUUUUUGGACCACUUUUUUCUUCUUUUUCUGUCUGCUUAUGUUACCUGUUGCUUCUUACUGAUGUUUGGAAAAAGCAUUUCUGGGAGGCGUAUUUCCACAGUCACAUGUUGGUGAGGCAUGCGGUGACAUGUAUUGUGAUCAGCAGAUUAAGAAGCAAGAAAUUGCUUUGGUGAUUUCCUUAACGUAGUUGAAAAAAUAACAGAUGCCAGAGCUUUUGUUAUCCAUUCCAUAUGACCUAAAUUGUCUUUAUAGCUCUUCAACAGAGAUGUGCUCUCUUUUCCUAUUAAACAUAUUCUGUCCAAUUUUAA